GCCUGGGACAUCUCAACGCUCGUCCAUAGCCGGCUGCGUGGAGCGUGGAAAUAAAGGGUUUCUCCUCAUUUUCGCCCUACAUUCAGGCAGACUUGGGAAAAAGCGGCGACCACGUCCAGUUGUGACGGACAUAAUGAGUGCGCUGUCGGAUGCUCGUGUUUCUGGUCAGUGGCUAUGUGCGAUCUUCCUCAGCCUGGGCUGCUUCCUACCGUCGUGCUUGCCCGCGGGACAAACUGUGGACUAUUCCUCCGUGGAAAGUGUGGUCAGCAGGCAAGGCGACACGGCUUUACUCAGGUGCUACCUGUUAGAUGGAAUCUCAAAAGGAGCCUGGCUGAACCGCUCAAGCAUAAUUUUUGCAGGGAAUGACCAGUGGUCUGCCGACCCACGCGUAUCCAUUGUGUCCAGCGUUGGAGACAAGCAUGAGUACAGCCUUCAGAUACAGAAGGUGGAUGUAACGGACGAUGGUCAGUACACAUGUUCAAUUCAAAGUGAGCGCAACCCACGGCCUAAACUGCUCAACCUCAUUGUAAAAGUUCCUCCCAAGAUAUAUGACAUUUCCUCUGACAUCACGGUAAACGAGGGCAGCAAUGUGUCGCUCAUCUGUACCGCCAGCGGGAAACCUGAGCCAGCCAUUUCCUGGAGACACAUAACCCCAUUAGCCAGGAAGUAUGACAGCGGUGAAUAUCUUAACAUCAGUGGAAUCACAAGGGACCAAGCUGGAGAUUAUGAAUGCAGCGCUUUAAAUGACAUCGCCUCUCCUGACACCAAAACAGUAAAAGUCACAGUCAACUUUGCACCAUCCAUCCAUGAGAUGAAAAGCCAUGGAGUUGGUUUGGGACGAACUGCUCUGCUGAGGUGCGAGGCAGCUGCUGUGCCUUCACCCACAUUUGAGUGGUACAAGGGGGAGAAAAGGAUUAUCAAGGGCCAGGGCAUUGACAUCAAGAGCCUCAGUUCCAGAUCAGUCCUCACAGUGACCAACAUGACAGAGGAUCGUUACGGGAACUACACGUGCGUCGCCACCAAUAAGCUUGGGACCGCUAAUGCCAGUGUGCCUCUCAUCCGUAGAUGAUCUGAUCACGUCACAGAAAUGGCCUAAAGACUUAAACUGCGUUCACACCAAACGCGAAAGUUCGCUUCGCCUCGUGUCCCUCGCUUGAGUUUGAUCACGGGAGUAUACACAUUGAAUUUUCUUCAUUCGGGCUGUAAUCACGGAAGAGGAGGGGCUUCUCCUCCGGGAGGCGAAGAUAGCAUUUCCUCCUGACAUACGCGAGCAGCAAUAGACGACGAUUUGACCUGUAUUGUGGCUCUGUACUGGUUGUGCAAGUCCAAACGUCAUCGGAAUGCCAAAUGCCGUUGUGCUUUGGUCCACAACACCAUCCAGAAGUGCACGUGGCGUGGUGAAUUUCACCGCCUUCUCCGGGAGCUGUUUCUGGAUGACUGCAGCUUCCAGUGCUACAUGAGACUAACCUGUACCCAGUUUGACGACAUAUUGGCUCGAAUCGGUCCCAGGAUGUCCCUACAAAUUACGUUCCAUCUCAGCUGCGGAGCACCUGUCCAUUUGUCUCCGGUGAGUGGCAGGUUCGUGUCGUUAUCGAUUUGUGUGUCACAAUAAAUUAAUAUUCACUAUAUAUACUGAGUUAAACUGCAGAUUUACUACAGUGCUAACAAAUGUAUCAAAAAUGAUGUUGAAAUAAUCAUGCUGCCAAAUUGUAAAAAGCAAUGGAUGGUUGAAAGGAAUGGCAUAAUGAGGUCGGAUCGAUCAGAUUAUCUGAUCAACAGUCGUACACAUCUAUAAACUGUGUACAACUUUAACAUAAGGUUACCGGAAUUUAUGAUGUUUAUUAUAUAUAUCCCCAUCAAUAAAAUAGUACAACCACUAGCAACACGUUUUAUGUAUUUGAUGUACUGCAUUCAAUAUAUUUAUGAUGUACGGUCAUGAUUUAGUUAUUUCAACAUCAUUUUGACUAUAUAACGAGACAGGACACUUUUUUUCCCCCUGAAUCCUGACUGUCUGACAAGACUCACCUGUUCCUCUUUUAAGUCAAUUGGGAUUUACAAAACUAUUUCUAUUUGCUAAAUACUGGAAUAAUGUGGAUAUAUUCUUAGAUAAAUAUAUAAAAUAGACAAUACAGUGCCAGUGUUUUUAGCUAUGACUGUAUGUGAUUAUCAUUAUUAUGUUUUAUGUAUCUAGACAACUACAGUCUCUUUACUACAACUUUUUUGUGCUGCAGAUAAUCAUUCAGGGCCAAGGCAAAUAUUUUCUGUGUUGGUGGCGCCACAAUAUUCCCCGAUGUGGCAAGAGCGAUUUGGGACUGUCUCGUGGAUGACUUCAUGGCUGUGCCCACCACAGAGGAGUGGAAGAAAAUUGUUGAGAGGUUCAAGGAACGGUGGGAUUUUUCUCUCUGCUGUGGAGCACUGAAUGGGGCGCAUGUGGUCUUCCGAGCCCCUGCCAACUCUGGAUCCCAGUUGUCCAAUUUAAGAGCAACCCACACAUACUUCAACAUUCCUGCAAUAUUACUUUAUCUGCACCAAAAUUGCACCUGUUUGUAUAAACAACAUCAACAAUUCAUAUGCAUAUCAUAAUGAACAUUGUUUGCCUAUAUAUUUUAUCCAUGAUGUAUUGUAUUUAAUUGAUUGUAUUAUAUUGUGAGGCAAUAAAGUAUCACUUUUGAAAUAGCAACACUGUAAAAUGUAUGGACCGGAUUUAGCAGGUAACCAAACGAAACUGUAUGCGGUAGUAAAAUACUGAAGUAGUAUUGUCUAUGUUUUUGUGUUUUUCGUUCAUCUUUGGAGACAUUACGCGACUCACUUACACAAGGGAAGACUUGCUAAACAUUAUGGAGUCUACCCCGGACUUUGCUUCACCAACUUUCGCAAAUCCGCUCAGUUCUUUCUCCGAGUUACUCACCGGUGGGGCGGCUGCGGUCUAUGGCGCAUGGAGGCGAAAGCAACGAGGGGGGAACCGUGCCGGGAUCCAAGUGAAGCUUGCACCCAACACUGCGCCCUAUGGGAGCACAGGAAGCGCGCACCUCCCGCUGGCCUGCCGGUACCUGGUCCUGGCUCUGACCACCUUGAUGGCCGCGUACUAGCGGCAGAGCAGCGAGCAAAGUGACUGUCGAGAGCAUUUACAAGUCUUCGGUGACAUCGCCCAUGACUGGAUUCCAAACGGGUGCAGUUUGUUGCAAGGCAAAGAGGGGAAAAUAAUAAUUAUUUUUCUUUUCUUUUUUUUUGUCAUAGUGAACUUCAUGUAAAUACUAUUUGUUGUUUUCUUUCUUUGCAUUUUCAUUUUCUGAUUGAUGGAUGAAUCAGCCCCUCUCCAUCCUUGGCGUCCAAUUGUAUCAAACGCUCAACUUCACUCACUUGACAUUUGCAUCUGUUUAUCUCUCUCACGACGAUAAAGAAACAACUGUGCCAAUUCUCUCAGUACACGUGAUUACCAUAACAAUGAUCAUUUGAAUGUAUUGUGGGUGGCUGAAUGGAAGAAAAUACUCAUUUUACUAUAAAAAAAAACAACAACAAAAGCAGUAGUCAUUUUGUUUGCGUUUAGUUAGCGUGCCUGUUUAACAGCUUGAAUCAGGUAGUCAAAGUAGAAAAGUUACCUGUAACAUAUCUGUAUCUUAACAAUCUUUGUUUUUUGUUUGUUUUUGGUGGGGUACUUCAAUCAAAUGACGAUGUACAGAUGACGAAAGGAACAGUCGCCUUGCUUCUCCUCGCAGAUUUGUCACAAACUUGUCACAUUUCGUAAAGGUCUGUUUCAGUCAAGAGGAAAAUACCAACCUCACGUGCUUUGCUUGCAUCUUAAUGAUUUCGUGAUUCGUUGUUUGUAUUUUGGGCAAGGUGGGAGUGCUUCAUUCCCUUUUCUUGUACAAAAGAGUUCCUAAAGGAGUUCUCAAAAGAUGGUUAUGUUACGCUACCUGCUGCAUUCAAGACUGGCAGGAAGUCGAGAGGUGCCACUUAGAAUAUAUGAAUUACGACCCCCAAAAGUUAUAGCUGAAUGCGAACAAAUAUAUAUAUAUAUAUAUAUAUAUAUAUAUAUAUAUAUAUAUACACACACACACACACACACACACAGUUCCAGGCAACACCAGUUGUAUGAAAUAGCAAUUUCUAGUAUAGCCAAUAGUUUGUGUAGCGUGUUAUUGGGGACCGCCAUAGUUGUGUGACAUCAAGCUACUGCAUCUCAUGCAGUAAUAAAACAUAGCUUUGCCCUGACUUCCCUAGUUGGAACCAACUUUGAUUACCAAUUUUCGCAUUUCCCUGUAAUGCAGCAUUUGUACCGAAACAACCCUGUUAUUGCCGCACAUUAUCCGGAAAUAAACUGAAACGUUGCAGAAAAUGGUUACACGAAUUAACAAGUGACUUCUAGAAAAGUAUCAAUAAAAACCCGCUCACUUUUCAACCCAAAUAUGUAAUAUGAUUACAGCUAAAAACUGCAUAGCAACUCAAGCUUGACUCAUCCAUAGAAUAAGUGAAUGUCCAUGAAGUCAAACUAAAUCGAGCGUUCUAUUUUGUUUCAUUUUGUAAACUGAACCUGGUAACUUCUGACUUUCUGUCUAUGGCAUAAUCAUCCUCCAGUAUCUAUCAAUCUACAGUGUAAGAAGAUACUGUAAUGCCUUAAUAGUAACAUACUCACUGAAGGACAUUUAGACGAGCCACUAAAUGUUUGUUUAAGAGACUAUAUUACUGAAUGUUCCAUCCGAACAAAUAGUCGAAAUUAGACAAGCGAGGACAAUUGAUUGAGUUGUCGUUGUGUUAAACUCCCAGUAUCCUCACAUGAACUUGAAACUGCAAAUCUUCUAGCGAAAUAGCCAUGGCAGUUAAAAGACUUUAAAGCACAAACACUGUUAUUGCUUCUACGUUUGGUUCUGUGGUGAUUUCUUUUUCUUGUUAGCUUGUUUAACAAAUUCUAAACAUUUAAAAAAAUGAAAAACCUGCACCAUAUGGUCUCGUUUAAAUGUUAAGCUACAAUGAACAAUAAGUGAGGAACAUAUUUAUUCACUUCCUUUAUACGUAAAAACAGUGUAUAAAAGUACAUUUGAAACAACCGGUUAUGUGAGGCUCAUUUGAUUUGAAUGGGCACAGUGUUGCAUUGAUUGAGGUGUGUUUAUUUGUCGAGUAAAAGAACAAAUGUGUGCAAUCAACUGAGCUCCUUUUUGAAGCGGGGAGAGGGCGUGCACCGAUAUUACAGUAUUGUAGAACAGACUCAAUGGGUGUGUAUAUGUGGAGAAAAUAUAGAUACAUUCGUAUCUUUAGAGCCUGUGUGUGUAGUCCUAGUUUUCACACACUUGACUGUUUGACGUCCAGAGUGUGCUUGUGAUGCAUGUUGACAUGAAAUAUCCGCCAUUUAUUGUUGAUUUGUUCAUUUUAUUUUAUAUCACAGUCGCCUAUCGUUACCCUGCAAAUUUUUGUGACGCAUUUGAUGAAAGCCUGAAAUUUUGCUAGCAGUAAUCACCUGCUAGUACAGUGGUGCCUUGAUAUACGAGUGAUCCAACUUACAAGUUUUCCGAGCUACUAGCCGUUAUUUGGCUAAUUGUUUGCCUUGACUUGUGGACAAAAAUUUGAAAGACGAGUGAUCUCAACUCAGCUCACUUAACAACAACCAGGAGUUUAGCAUAGAACAAUUUGUCAAAAAAAAGAGGAUUCAAGCUCUUUAAUGCCACUCCUAAUUCAAGUAAAACAAACAAUACAUGUAUAUUUAAAAAAAACAAAACAUAAUUUUACCUUUAAGUCCGCUAGCUUAAUGCUCACACACGUGCACACAUAGACCUCUCGUGGUGUUCCAGCAAAGUGCCCUUGAGACCAUUUUGUAUUCUUUACUCAUCAAUAUUUAAAAAAAAAAAAAACACACACAAACAAAACUCUCUGUCAUCAACUCCCCCCAAAAGUGUUGAUGGGUUUUUAUUUCAGUUCUUGUGAGAAUUGUGCCUCUCGCUGAGCCCCCGUUAUAUGAAUAGGCAAGUAUAGAUUAUUAUAUUCAUGGUAGCUUCCCUUCACCUCAUUUGUAAAUAGGUUUAUUGACUUUGUUGUUUGUAUACAGACAUUAAUACCUAAUUUAACUAUAUGUACUCUUCUUAUUUUAUUAUUAUUAUUGUGUGAAUAAUUUUGGCAAACGGUGGCCUUUGUUUUGGGGGGGGGGGGGGCUUGAGCACCUGCCUCCAUAAAUGUCUGUGCACAUGCCUGCUAUAACGCUUAAAGCAAUGGAUAUUUGAACUCAAAUGGUGCUGCAACACAUGUAGACUGAUAAUAUGCCAAUACUCACAAGCAUAUAUUUUUAUAUUUUUUUAUAUUAUAUUUUUGUUUUUUAUCCUCUGUGAAAACUAAUAUUCUUGCAGAUUACUGAGUCACCAACAGCAGUUGAGUGAAACUCUUCUACAUUUGUCGGCAUCACUGUAUUGUGUUGCCACCCAGUGGUCAAGUCAUGUACACCAGGAGCCGCAGGAAUUGAUCAUGACGUACAAACUGUUUAAUUCUUUAAAUUCUAUUUAAUUAUGUUAUUACCGUUCUUAUAAAAUACAAUGUUAUAGAGUGCCAUUUGUGAGUGCUCGUUUGUUGUUUUUUUGGCGGGGAGGCUGGAACGUAUUAAUGGUCUUGGCAUUCAUUUCAAUGAGGAAAGAUGAGUUGAGAUACCUGCGAUUGGCUGGCAACUAGUUCAGGGUGCACCCCGCCUCCUGCCCGAUGAUCGCUGGGAUAGGCUCCAGCACGCCCGCGACCCCUAGUGAGGAGAAGCGGCUCAGAAAAUGGAUGGAUGGAUGGAGUUGAGAUACGAUCGUUUUGUUUUACGUGUGGUCACAGACUGUAUUAGUUCUCAAGGCACCACUGUAUGCCACAUCAAAUGUACUGGAUGUUGAAUAUUUGCGGGGAGAAAUGGUAUAAACAAUUCCCUUUUAUUAAUUCAAUCUUAUUUGCAAUAAAAAAAUUAAAAAAAACGUCAUGUUCCGAUCCUUAAACCUAUAUGUGAGUUAAUAAACGCUCGUAGGGGUUAGUCCCAGUGUAGCUGCUGAGUCAUGUUUAUCGUGGCAUAUCAUGCAUAUUUGUUGGCCCUCCUCUGUGCCCUCGAACGCUUUGUGCAAAUACUCGGCUGAGCCCAGAUGGCCAGAUGCCACAGUGCACACAGCAUAUAGGAUUAUCCUGCUUUUGCGCCCGCCGUCAUUAUUGACUGCGCUGUUAGUCGCUAAAUCUUCUGGCAUAUUUACAAACAUAAGUCACGGUUUAUUUCAUCCCGGAAUGCAUUGAGGAGGGACUCAGAUUGUAUUUUGUUUGCACAAACUACAAUCACAUGAUGUUGAACUCGCUGUGUGCUCCAUCGGGCUGUUUCAUGAUGGUCUCCAGUCCAAAUUAAAAUGUUGGUUUACAACCGGAAAGUGCACUGCCUCACCUCCCUGCUAACAUCAGAAAUCUCAUUGAAAUACAUUUUUGCAUGUAGAGGAGGCCCACGCUUGAAGUUUGAAAUGAGCCAUCUCCAUAUACUGUAUCGGGAUCUAACCGAUGCGUUCAAAUGUAUACAAACCAGAAGUACUGUAUUGAAUGUGCCUUCGAGUAUUUUGUCAAACACCACGAUGACGGAAGUAGACCUUUCAUUAAUCCACAUUUACACCAAGCAGUGUGUUUUAGUUUGGGAACUCUUGAUCGGGCUUGUGAUUCCUCUGUGGCGUGUGUAAAUGCUAGCGAUGGGCAUAAUAAGUCAUGAAUUAUUCUUAAGAAUUUGAUCAUUUGGGUGGAAUCUGAGGCAAAAUGGAGUGCACUACUUGGAUGGGAUCUAAAGAAGCCCAACGUGACGUCAGCUAUGGGAAGUUAAGCUACGUACAGAUGAUGUAGCGCUACUCGUGGGUAGCAAUAUUCUUAACACGGUACUAGCAUUACAUACAAAAAUAAAUAAAUAAAUAACAGUGCAGUGUGCUGGCAUGAUCCUUAAAAAUUCUUAAACAAGCGCCUCGAUGUCAUAAUAAGUUGUUUUUUUUGAAUGCAGGUUUUUAUUACCUUCCUUGUAACAAGGAUGUGACACCUCUCUGUGGACCAAUCAUUGGACAGCAGUGUGCCUAGCUCUGUCCUCCACUCCUGUACGGCGCUAUGCUGUGCUUAAAAGUGGGUCGCUACAGUUCUUAAUUUUUGACAACAGAAACGCCCAAAAAAUAGCGGAACGAGCUGAACGGCUUGAAGAAAACGAGACUUGCUGCUAGCUACAGUUAUAUUAUGUGCAGUCUUGCAGUCACCGUCGUUUACUUUCACUGAUAAUGGAUGGAAUUAUUUACAUAAAUAAUUUGACCUCUUUUCAAUUUUUAUCAAUUUACACGUUUGUGCGAUAGCAUCAUAAUUAUGUUCCUCUUUAAUUAGAGCCACAAAUGUGCUUCACAGUGACCUUUGCGCACUUAAGGGAGCGCAAGAAGAAAUAAAAUUGCAAUUUUACUAAAUUGGAUUGCAUUUUCAACAUGCUGAUAUGCCUCCAAAUACCAAGCACCGCAUUUGUUUGCCCUCAAUAUUAGUUAUGCAGGGUUCAACUCCUUUUUACAGUAGUCGUGUACACCACAAAUGCAUUUCGUUGCUUUCUGUUUAAGGUGAUUGACACACUGUACCUGACAGUUCCCUUCCGUGCAGCUGCAAAUAGUGAAAUAUAAAAUAAACAAUGCUUCUUGGAGACAGUAGGUUUCAACAAACAGCAACAACAACUCCACCCGUCAGACUUCCUCUACAGUAGCGCGUACAUUACAAUGUGGGGAGGUGAGAUGGCACUUGACGAACCGAUCGGAGAUUGCACACAAGGUGAUGCGUUGCUGUUUACAAAAAGAGUAUUAGGGUCACACACACAACAAAAUAAUAAUAAUUUCAAACAAUUACUGAGAACAGCGGACGUUGAAUAAAGUUAUAAUAUGUAGAGGGGGAAAAAACAAAGUUGUAGUAAGAUAUUAAAAUCAGAGUAUUAGUCUGAGGCCAGCGCUUGAAAUGUUACAAGAAUAAAUUCUUAGAGAGAAUUGAUUGUGAAACAUGUAACUUGACCCUUGACUUCAUCCUAAUGCAAGUAGGUGUUUAUGGUCGUAAUAUUGUGACUGUAUUAUACUACCAUCAUGUGAUAAUAUUUUAGGAUUAUGACUUCUUUCUCGGGAGAAAUAUUGUUCUUUUGUCGAAAUAUUACCACUUUUUUUUUGUCUGGUAACAUCGUUCAUUUAUUCUCAGACUAUUUUUUUUUUUUUUUUUGUGUGGCCCUAAUGCUUCUUCGUAGCUUUAAAAUAGCAAAGUGAUUUGAUGCUCCUACUGUGCACUUCAGGUUGAUUUAAAAUUGCGUUGUCCAGCAAGUAAAUUAGGGCUGCGUGGCUUUUCAUAUCCAUUAUUCCUGUUUCUGUAUUUGUUUUUAUUGAUUUGAUUUGUUUUAUUUUUUAUUAAUAUUAUUGGAGUGGGGUUGGCUGUGUUGUUAAUAGACCCUUCCCCAUGCCUUUAAUUUGGGGAGAUAUUGUUGCAUUCUGCCGCCUGCCUCUGCAGCAGUCACAUUGCACCUCACUGAGCAGCAUACUGAGUUGUGAGCAUCAAAAGAACAACACAAACACACUCACUUGGUGCACGUUUGUCACGUGGCAGAUUGCAAUAAGUCCUUCGGUCAAACACAUGGGGAAGACAAAAUGUACUUUCUCCACCUCCAAGCAAAAGAAUUGGGUGAAAUAUAUAUAUCUUUUUUUUUUUUUAAAUUGGCUCAAGUGUGUAUGCUAGUGUGGCAGCUGCCAUUGUUGGAGUGGACGUUUGAAAAGCAUUAGUCAAGUGAGACGUGAAAAAUAAGUCACCGGCUGUUAAUGGAACUUUAAAAGAAAAUGAGGAACAGUCAAUAUAAUGCUGCUGUGUGCACUAUUAGGUUUGUUUUCAAUGCUCACAAAUGCACCACACAUCACUUUGCAGCAACAUUUUGUUCUUGGUGGAAAGCAGGGGUGGAGGACCUUUUCAUCCGGCCUGCUGUGCAAUUCUGAAAACAAAUAAAACGUCACAGGAACUGUUAUAAAAAGCCCCAAAAAAUAUAACACAAAAAUUUGCGUCAUAUUUUUUCAUAUAUUUACGAUGGCCCUCGGAAGGCCUGAAAGGAAAAAGAUCCUCCACUCCUGCUCCCUUAUACAAAUACAACAUACUGUAUGUAUUUCUUAGUUGUUUUUUUUGUUAAACACACACACACAAACAAGUACACAUUUAAUGGUGUUUGUUCAAAAAAUGUGGAUGGACGUUCUUAUUCCGUGGGCACCAUAUGAUCAACUCACAUUUUUAUUAUUUAAUGUUGAAAAUAUGAUGGUAUUACUUAAGAAAUGUUGUGAGGAGAAUGGAAAUGUUUACUCAAAUGUGUUUGAAGGUCCUUUAGGUGCCGGUUGUACAUUUAUAGGCUCUAAAUCACUGGAAUGAUAUACAUAAGUGGCAUUGAUAUACCUAUACCUAUAUAAAUAUAUUUAAAUAUAUAAAUAUAUAUUGAUAUUUGUCCCAAUACAAGAAAAUCCAUGUACAUUAAUUGAUUUAAAGCUUACAUUGUGUACAGUAUAGCACGUAUGCAAGUCCAUUUUCAUCAUGUUUGAUGUAAUUUUGUAGCAGUGGUUUGAUACUAAUAAAUGGCAGUCGAUGAUGGAAUUGUAAAA